rnacentral:misc_RNA from 1 species
UAAAUGCGAUAAGUAAUGUGAAUUGCAGAAUUCAGUGAAUCAUCGAAUCUUUGAACGCACCUUGCGCUCCUUGGUAUUCCGAGGAGCAUGCCUGUUUGAGUGUCUUGAAGUCAUCAACCCCUACCGUUUCGUGCGGCUGUGGGUUGGAGCUGGGGGCAUGCGGCCGCGAGGCCGCUCCCCUCAAAUGCGUCGGUCGGACCUGUGGGUCGGACUCGUCGGGCGUUGUACCAUCCUCGCUCUAAUGAGAAGUUCCCCUUCUGCGUCCCUCCACGACCUGCCGUCGAGUGGCGGUCAAUGCAAGACCUUUUGAAAUCUGACCUCAAAUCAGGUAGGACUACCCGCUGAACUUAA